UAGGGAAUCUUCGGCAAUGGGGGGAACCCUGACCGAGCAACGCCGCGUGAGUGAAGAAGGUUUUCGGAUCGUAAAGCUCUGUUGUUAAGGAAGAACGAGUGUGAGAAUGGAAAGUUCAUACUGUGACGGUACUUAACCAGAAAGGGACGGCUAACUACGUGCCAGCAGCCGCGGUAAUACGUAGGUCCCGAGCGUUGUCCGGAUUUAUUGGGCGUAAAGCGAGCGCAGGCGGUUAGAUAAGUCUGAAGUUAAAGGCAGUGGCUCAACCAUUGUAGGCUUUGGAAACUGUUUAACUUGAGUGCAGAAGGGGAGAGUGAAAUUCCAUGUGUAGCGGUGAAAUGCGUAGUUAUAUGGAGGAACACCGGUGGCGAAAGCGGCUCUCUGGUCUGUAACUGACGCUGAGGCUCGAAAGCGUGGGGAGCGAACAGG
rnacentral:rRNA from 1 species